AUUAUUAUACUUUGCCCAAAAAAAAGCAAAAAAAAAACAAAACAAAAAC
rnacentral:sRNA from 1 species